CCUACGGGAGGCAGCAGUGAGGAAUAUUGGUCAAUGGACGCAAGUCUGAACCAGCCAUGCCGCGUGCAGGAAGACGGCUCUAUGAGUUGUAAACUGCUUUUGUACGAGGGUAAACGCAGAUACGUGUAUCUGUCUGCAAGUAUCGUAUGAAUAAGGACCGGCUAAUUCCGUGCCAGCAGCCGCGGUAAUACGGAAGAUUCAAGCGUUAUCCGGAUUUAUUGGGUUUAAAGGGUGCGUAGGCGGUAGGAUAAGUUAGAGGUGAAAUUUCGGGGCUCCACCUCGGAAUUGCCUCUGAUACUGGUGGGCUAGAGAGUAGUGGAGGUAGGCGGAAUGUAUGGUGUAGCGGUGAAAUGCUUAGAGAUCAUACAGAACACCGAUUGCGAAGGCAGCUUACCAAGCUACUUCUGACGUUGAGGCGCGAAAGCGUGGGGAGCAAACAGGAUUAGAUACCCGAGUAGUC
rnacentral:rRNA from 1 species